rnacentral:rRNA from 1 species
CGCGAAUGGCUCAUUAUAACAGCUAUAAUUUACUUGAUCUUGACACUAUCCUACUUGGAUAACUGCGGUAAUUCUAGAGCUAAUACAUGCAUUAAAGCUCUGACCACACGGAGAAGAGUGCACUUAUUAGAACAAAACCAAGCGGCUUCGGCUGUUUUCGGUUGACUCAUAGUAACUGAGCUGAUCGCACGGUCUUGCACCGGCGACGUGUCUUUCAAGUAUCUGCCGUAUCAACUUUCGAUGGUAGUGUAUCUGACUACCAUGGUGAUCACGCGUAACGGAGAAUAAGGGUUCGGCUCCGGAGAGUUCGCCUGAGAAAUCGCGAACACAUCUAAGGAAGGCAGCAGGCGCGAAAAUUACCCACUCUCAGCACGAGGAGGUAGUGACGAAAAAUAACGAGACCGUUCUCUUAUGAGGCCGGUCAUCGGAAUGGGUACAAUUUAAACCCUUUAACGAGUAUCUAUGAGAGGGCAAGUCUGGUGCCAGCAGCCGCGGUAAUUCCAGC